GGAGCUGUAGCUCAAUGGCAGAUGCUUGCCUGGCAUGCAUGAGGCACUGGGUUCGAUCCUCAGCACCA
rnacentral:tRNA from 1 species